CCUCUCUGCAGAUGUUUAUUUGGCCAGGCCAGGAUACUACUCACAGUGACCUAAUCCUUCCUGUCCUAAUGUCAGCCUAUGUGCAGGUGGUUGCUCACAUGGACAUUUUGACUGAUUUCACUGCUAACUGCAUACAAGUUCACUCUAAAUAUCAUUGGAGGAAAGUCAACAUCAGAACCUGAAGUGAAGCUGUGAAGUUUUUGCAGAUGUGCCAUAUCAACUGAAGGGAUUAAAAGGAAAGUCCUUCUGGGGCUAAUUUUACACAAACAAGCCCAAUGAAUUAGCAAUGAAAACUCUUCAACCUGCUGGAUAAAGUAUCUGUAUAAAAUUGAAAUACAAAUAAUAAUAUUA